CCUACGGGCGGCAGCAGAGGGGAAUAUUGGACAAUGGGGGCAACCCUGAUCCAGCCAUGCCGCGUGUGUGAAGAAGGCCCUCGGGUUGUAAAGCACUUUCAGUGAGGAAGAACGCCUGGUGGUUAAUACCCAUCAGGAAAAACAUCACUCACAGAAGAAGCACCGGCUAACUCCGUGCCAGCAGCCGCGGUAAUACGGAGGGUGCGAGCGUUAAUCGGAAUUACUGGGCGUAAAGCGCGCGUAGGUGGCUUGAUAAGCCGGUUGUGAAAGCCCCGGGCUCAACCUGGGAACGGCAUCCGGAACUGUCAAGCUAGAGUGCAGGAGAGGAAGGUAGAAUUCCCGGUGUAGCGGUGAAAUGCGUAGAGAUCGGGAGGAAUACCAGUGGCGAAGGCGGCCUUCUGGACUGACACUGACACUGAGGUGCGAAAGCGUGGGUAGCAAACAGGAUUAGAUACCCGUGUAGUC
rnacentral:rRNA from 1 species